GGGAUGCACUUCAGCAACAGAUGAUUUCUCUGGUGUUUGCUCAGUCUUUUCUCUGGCUCUGCUUCUCAAUGAAAGCAAAGUGCUCUAUCAAAGUGAGUUAAGUACUACAAGAAGGACUCUUCCUGGGAAGUUGGUUUUGGAUGAUCUUUCCUUCAAUAAGGUGCAUUUGAGAAGAGCAGUGCCAAGAAAAGAAUGUGCAAGAACAUGAAGAGGAAGAAAAUCAAGAAAAAUUAACAGCUUGACCAACCACAACGGAUGAAGCACUAAAUAACAUCAAGGUUUUGAGAGGCAAGUUAAGCAACGCUGCUGACCCGUAUUGUUUGCUAUGAAUGCUAGUCAAAACCUGGUUAACUGCACUCCACUGAUGCCUGGAAUUAGCAAGUCAACAGGGCUGAUGCAACCAUUUUCUUUCACCUUAAAGAGCAUGCCAGUUGCACUCCUAACUGGAAAAUGAGCAGACAAAAUUAACAGCGGAGUUGCUAGGGCUCCCAGCAGUCUUGGGAUGGGGAGAUGAGUGAGGCUGCUGCAUUCAGCAAGAUCUGUAUUCUGCUAUAUUGCAAAGCUGGUAAAACUCACCCACACUGUUCUUUGACUUAAAGUGGUUACUGCUUCUGAAUCUGUUCCAGUUGCUGAAGCUGAUGAAAAGACUUCUGGCUCAAAUCCUGAGCUUGCAAGUCCAUGUCAUUAAGGGUUCAUAGGAUCUGUUUGUGCUUCAUGUAGCCACAUUUUCAACUUGAAAAAUUUACUUGGGUAAUUAAUUAUGUUUGAUUGCAUCAAAGUUGGUUAUGUAAGAGAAAUCCCAAAGGGUAUAUUCCAAAUCUAUGUUUGGUGUAAAUGAUUAAUGAUUCACAUUAUGGAACACACCAGCAAGUUUCAUCCUGUAUCUAAUUGCUGAAAAAGUUGAAUUUGUUGCUUUCAUUUUAAUAUACAGCACUGCACAAAGGAAUACUUCAUUCAUGAACCUUUACAAGGAGGUUUUGAAAAAAUCCUUGCUUAAUUACAUGCCACUAAGAGAAUAAUAGUUGAAAUUUAUUGCAAAAGAUAGACUAAGUUUAUUACAGAGCCCCAAAAAUUGGCCCUUCAGGGCAUUUUUAUAGCCAUGACAAUUUGUUUCAGUAUUCGUAGCUGGUUACUUGCAGUAACAGCAACUCACACUGUGAAAUUCCAUCUUAUCUAUGACUUUCCUUUCUAAAUUCCAAGCCAUCAAUGGCCAAUUGUCCUUUGAGCAAAGUCAUAAUCCAGCUGUCCUUUUAUAUAAUAUCUGUAGCUCUCCUGUGGAAGAUGAACAUUGUAGAAGAUCAUGCGGUUCUAUUAAUUUCAAGUCAUAUUUUUCUCUGUAAUCAAUUUGAAUGGGAUUGUUUUUCUCUAAAACAGCAAUCAUCUCAGGGUACGUUUAUGUCUUUUGAAGUAAGAAUUUUAAAAAUUCUUUGAAUUUCGAAACUUGCUAUGGUAUCUCUCUGAAAAAAGGCUGCUUGGAACAAUUCUAACAUUUUUGCAGAACAUAAACUAUGGAACUUCUUUCUGAUUCAUUUGUUUGAUUCCAGUUUUGGAUUCCAAAUUUUAGAAAAUAUCUCACAGAAAAAAAACAAGCUGUGCAUUUCUCAAAUUAUACAUAAGAAUGUUUAAUAAUGACAAUAGACAGAUCUGCUUGUACAUAUACAUUAAUCCCCUUUAUGAAAUGCCAGAUCUCUUAUUCUGAAAUCUACCUUCCCAGUCUCCUUGCUCCUGUGGAUGACUAUCUGAAUACUCUAUAGAGGAAAAUUGCAUUAAUCUACUUCUGGGAUCUUCCAACUUAAAAAUAUUUUGGAAGAUAAUUGGAACAUGAUGGCAUUUUAAAUUUUUCACAUCAUUUCCUACAUUUCAUGAAAAUUGAGGAACUGAAAAAGUGCUGGAUCAGAUCAACUGUCUAUCUAACCCAGCUGCCUGUGUUCAGUAGUAACAAGAAGAGAUGUUAUACAGGAAGAUCAUUCAAGCCUAGCAGUGUUUUCUGGCUUAUUGCCCCUUGCAACACUACCCAGGGCAAUUUCUAUCCAUGCAGGGAUGGCUGCUAUUACUGCUUUUCCUGCUGAUGGUGAUCAGCCACUUUCUGAAAGCUGCUGGCUUCUAAUGGGUCUCCUUGCUCCCCUGGGCCCUCCAAGUUCAGGAACUCUCCAGGAACCACCAUACUUGCACCCUGCAGAACACUUUGCCCAAGAAUGAUUGCCUUGGCAAGUGACUGAUUUUUGAAUCUGCUGAACCUGCCUACCCAGCCUUUCCAAGCUGAAAGACCAUUUCUUUUACUCACUGACUCUCAACUGAGAGCAUUUGCAGCUCAGCCAAUGAAAAAUCACCAGUGCAAAUUAACCAGUAUGUCCCUGUCCCAUUUUGCCAGCAGAUCCUUACUGGUCUUUUCUGUUACUGUGAUGCACACUUGUCACCAUGGUGAUGUUUGUAAGCAUUCCAUUCCACUCCUUGGCCACAGGUGCCAUUGGACUUCAUCCUGUUGCUGGCAGGACAAACCCCUUUAGUUAGGGAAGGAGCCAUGGACAAACAUUUCUGUCAAGUUUAAAAAUUAAUAAUUAAAGUGGAGAUAUCUUCAUGAGAAAUA